AGAUUGAACGCUGGCGGCAUGCCUUACACAUGCAAGUCGAACGGCAGCACGGGAGCAAUCCUGGUGGCGAGUGGCGAACGGGUGAGUAAUCUAUCGGAACGUGCCCAGUCGUGGGGGAUAACGCAGCGAAAGCUGUGCUAAUACCGCAUACGAUCUCUGGAUGAAAGCGGGGGACUCGCAAGGGCCUCGCGCGAUUGGAGCGGCCGAUAUCAGAUUAGCUAGUUGGUGGGGUAAAAGCUCACCAAGGCGACGAUCUGUAGCUGGUCUGAGAGGACGACCAGCCACACUGGAACUGAGACACGGUCCAGACUCCUACGGGAGGCAGCAGUGGGGAAUUU
rnacentral:rRNA from 1 species